GGCCAAUCUCCCUGACCUCUGACCUCAUGCUCUGUGGUUCCUCUGCCUCAUCUCAUUCCAAGAAUGGAAUUACAAGUUGUUUGUCCUCCCACCCAACAUUCUAGAGAUUCUGAGAAUUGGACAGCUUACCACUCAAGCUUGGAUGAUAAGUGUUUUUCAGAUUCCUGAUCUGAGGAAAUAGUGUGAAGCCACAGGAAUGAAGCCAUGGAAACUAUUGUAAACAAAGGAAGAAGAACCACCAAGACUAAGCAACACUUGCACUCAACAGCAACGCUUUCAUGAAGAUUUCAUCCUUGUGCCUAUUUCUUCCAACUCUUUCCAGAGAACAAGAGGAUAGACAGAGGAUUGCCUGAUACACAGAGCCUAAUGGUGAAUUGCAGGCAGACAGUGUCUAAUCAGAUGGCAGCUGAGCCUGGAAGGCUGGGAGGAUGGGGGGGGCAUUCCUGAGGAGAGAUGAGGCUGCUAGCCUUUCUGCAUUGUCUGGGUUCUUUUCUCUCCCUGGGAUCAACAACAUAAACUAAGAUGGAGAAGGA
rnacentral:lncRNA from 1 species